rnacentral:rRNA from 1 species
AACGCAGCGAAAUGCGAUACCUAGUGUGAAUUGCAGAAUUCCGCGAAUCAUCGAGUCUUUGAACGCAAGUUGCGCCCGAGGCUUGUCCAAGGGCAUUUCCGCUAGAGCGUCACC